rnacentral:rRNA from 1 species
GACGAACACUGGCGGCGUGCCUAAUACAUGCAAGUAGAACGCUGAAGGAGGAGCUUGCUUCUCUGGAUGAGUUGCGAACGGGUGAGUAACGCGUAGGUAACCUGCCUGGUAGCGGGGGAUAACUAUUGGAAACGAUAGCUAAUACCGCAUAAGAGUAGAUGUUGCAUGACAUUUGCUUAAAAGGUGCAAUUGCAUCACUACCAGAUGGACCUGCGUUGUAUUAGCUAGUUGGUGAGGUAACGGCUCACCAAGGCGACGAUACAUAGCCGACCUGAGAGGGUGAUUGGCCACACUGGGACUGAGACACGGCCCAGACUCCUACGGGAGGCAGCAGUAGGGAAUCUUCGGCAAUGGACGGAAGUCUGACCGAGCAACGCCGCGUGAGUGAAGAAGGUUUUCGGAUCGUAAAGCUCUGUUGUAAGAGAAGAACGAGUGUGAGAGUGGAAAGUUCACACUGUGACGGUAUCUUACCAGAAAGAGACGGCUAACUACGUG